rnacentral:misc_RNA from 1 species
GAUGAAGAACGUAGCGAAAUGCGAUAAGUAAUGCGAAUUGCAGAAUUUCCGUGAGUCAUCGAACCUUUGAACGCACAUUGCGCCCCUUGGUAUUCCGAGGGGCAUGCCUGUUCGAGCGUCAUUAUAACCCCUCAAGCUCAGCUUGGUGUUGGGGCCUGCUGCACUGGCAGCCCUUAAAAUCAGUGGCGGCGCCAUCUGGCUCUAAGCGUAGUAAUUCUUCUCGCUAUGGAGUCCUGGUGGAUGCUUGCCAUCAACCCCCAAUUUUUCUAUGGUUGACCUCGGAUCAGGUAGGGAUACCCGCUGAACUUAAGCAUAUCAAUAAGCGGAGGA